GAGGGUGUAGCUCAAGUGGUAGAGCACAUGCUUAGGAUGCAUGAGGUCCUUGGUUCAACCACCAGUACCUCCA
rnacentral:tRNA from 1 species